GCCAGGGCGCCGGGCAGCGAGAGCGCCGCCGCGCCGUUGGGAGGCAGCGUCAGAGCGGGGAAGAAAGGCGGCUGAUGACCCAGCACCGCGCUCAUGGCGAAGUCCGGCGCCCGGUGAGCCUUUCCCUUCGGCUCGCGGGAGGCGUCUGCAGUUGCGCUAGACCGGCUGGAACUGCGAGCGAAGAGAGCGGAAAAAAAAAAAAAAGUCUCUCUCCUUAAAAAAAAAAAAAAAUCUCUGAUGGAAGCCCUCUUCUACCAGCGCUAUCAAAACUUGAACUGCAAGCGGGCUUCCGUUCGCCCUUCUCCUCCGCCUUCCUCCGCUCCGAGCCUCCGGAGGGUGUCUGGGUUUCAAUCCGAAUCUUGCUGUGUGUGCUCUGCUCCCGCGCCUCUCUUCCUUGUCCUAAAACGCUGCCUCAGACACAUUCCCGGGAAGACAGAAGAAAGGAAGAAGCAAGAAGGUCAUGGAAGAGUAGCAGAAGACCAAUGGUAUUGUGCUGGUUUCUGUCAUCCAUCAACAUGAAUCAGUCACAGGGAUACACAUAUCCCACCCCUCUGGAACCUCCUUCCAGCCUCCCACCCCGUCUCACCUCGCUAGCUUGUCACGGAGCACCGGGUUUGAGCUUCCUGCAUCAUACAGCAAAUUCCCACCAGCUAUCUAUUUUAUAUACGGAUCUCCCUGACCAGGGAUUGAACUGUGCCCCCUUCCUUGGAUGUGCAGAGUCCUACCCGCUGGACAGCCAGGGGACUCCUGGUGGCAUGUACUUCUACCAAAAGACUCACAAAAUCGCUUGUCUUUCUUCUCGGUUUGUGAGCAGCCGCUGAAGACCAUUUUCGGCAUGGAUCCAUCAUUUCUUUAAGGGUUUGCACAAUAGUGAUAUUCAUUUCUUUCAUUUCAUCUUCAUUAUGUGAAAUACUCCCAAAUUUCUCAAGAGGACACCACAUCACUAAACGCUAAAGUUUGAGCAGACAUCAUCCACUAUCUACAUUUUCACGCUUUUCAAUGAUAAACCUCUUCGACUGGAUUUGACGUAUGAUAUAUAAUUGAACUGCACUCAACUGGAAAUUAAAAGCGAUAACCUUUGAAAACAAAUGUGCCUAGAAUUUCUUCCUGCAGUCGGUGGUCAGUCCAUUCCUAAUCCGGGGACUGUGGGCAACUUUGUCAGGAAUUUCUUUUCCCUUUUAAAAAUUUUAUUGGAAUACGAUUGAUUUACAAUGCUGUGUUCAUUUCAGGUGUAAGGAAUUUAUUUCUGCAUUCAGUCAGGAAAUUCAGUUUGCCUCUUGCAAACAAAAUGAAAAAGGAGCCCGUGAAGCUCUCUGAAAAUGUUGAUUGAUCUAUGGGACCCCACCCCCGCAACCCGCCAUCACCCCCUACUUUUCACCAGUGCUGGGAGAAGGGAAGGUCGGUUUGGGAGAAUCCUGAGCAGAGAGGGUUUACAAACUUGAAGCUGCUUUAGGGAAAAGUGUAUUGUUUCUGCUUUCAUUUUUCAUGUCAAAGUCCUCACACCAUCAGAGCACACGGGAGACUUUAAACAAACCACAUUGCCCCCAGGUCUGCUUCUUGAAGGAGGGGAUUUACUCUUUACCCCUCCCCCUGACGAGUGUUAACAGCAGAAUUAAGGCUGGGGAAUCUGGCAGGGGCUUGCUUGCAGCGGGGAAGGUGUGUCUGGGCUUUUUUGCAAGGCAUUAAUCACUUGUUUAUAGAGGGGGAAGAAAAAAAAAAAAAGAAAACAGGAGGAAGACAGUGGGGGCUGUUCCCUGUUCUGGGUUCCCUUCCAGGCAAACUCUUUUACCGCCACAAGUGAAAGUCGCUCAGUCAUGUCCUUUGAGAACCCAUGAACUAUACAUAUAGUCCAUGGAAUUUUCCAGGCCAGAAUACUGCAGUGGUAGCCUUUCCAUUCUCCAG